AAGCCAAGGGCAUUUGUGCUUGCACAAAAAUGCCCUUGGCCUUGACGAGCGCAUAAACAUGAGGAAGAAGCGGGGGAGGGGCCCCGCGGAAUCCGAAUGUUUAUAGCAUUGCGAGAGUGUGGAACACACGAAGCAAUGCGUGGCU
rnacentral:sRNA from 1 species